GCUUGUCUCAAAGAUUAAGCCAUGCAUGUCUAAGCACAUGCCUCUGUAUGGUGAAGCCGCGAAUAGCUCAUUACAACAGCCAUCGUUUACUAGAAAAUAGUUGUCCUACUUGGAUAACUGUGGCAAUUCUAGAGCUAAUACAUGCAAAAAAGCUCAGUACCGCAAGGUCUGAGCGCAUUUAUUAGAAUAAAAACCAAUCGGGUCUAACAGCCCGCUCUUUGGUGAAUCUGAAUAACUUUGCUGAUCGCAGGUCUUAGUACCGGCGACGUAUCUUUCAAGUGUCUGCCUUAUCAACUUUCGAUGGUAGGUUAUACGCCUACCAUGGUAGUAACGGGUAACGGAGAAUAAGGGUUCGACUCCGGAGAGGGAGCCUGAGAAACGGCUACCACAUCCAAGGAAGGCAGCAGGCGCGCAAAUUACCCACUUCCAGAACGGAGAGGUAGUGACGAAAGAUAACGAGACAGUCCUCUUCGAGGUCUGUCAUCGGAAUGGGUACAAUUUAAACCCUUUAACGAGGAUCUAUUGGAGGGCAAGUCUGGUGCCAGCAGCCGCGGUAAUUCCAGCUCCAAUAGCGUAUAUUAAAGUUGUUGCGGUUAAAACGCUCGUAGUUGGAUCUGCGGCCUGAGAGAACGGUCCCCCGAAAGGGCGGUAGCCGUUACUCUUGGCCUAAAUUUUCAGUCGACUCUACGGUGCCCUUAACCGGGUGCUUAGGGUGACUGGAACGUUUACUUUGAAAAAAUUAGAGUGCUUAAAGCAGGCGAAUUUGCCUGAAUAAGGUGCAUGGAAUAAUGGAAUAGGACCCCGGUUCUAUUUUGUUGGUUUUCGGAGCCUGAGGUAAUGAUUAAGAGGAACAGACGGGGGCAUUCGUAUUCCGGCGCUAGAGGUGAAAUUCUUGGACCGCCGGAAGACGGACGACUGCGAAAGCAUUUGCCAAGAAUGUUUUCAUUAAUCAAGAACGAAAGUUAGAGGUUCGAAGGCGAUCAGAUACCGCCCUAGUUCUAACCGUAAACGAUGACAACCAGCGAUUAGCCGGCGUUAAUAUAUGACCCGGCUAGCAGCUUCCGGGAAACCAAAGUUUUUCGUUUCCGGGGGAAGUAUGGUUGCAAAGCUGAAACUUAAAGGAAUUGACGGAAGGGCACCACCAGGAGUGGAGCCUGCGGCUUAAUUUGACUCAACACGGGAAAACUCACCCGGCCCGGACACCGUAAGGAUUGACAGACUGAGAGCUCUUUCUUAAUUCGGUGGGUGGUGGUGCAUGGCCGUUCUUAGUUGGUGGAGCGAUUUGUCUGGUUAAUUCCGAUAACGAACGAGACUCUGGCCUAUUAAAUAGCCGGUAUAUAUUGAAAGUUUACCGCGCUUCUUAGAGGGACAACCGGCUUCUAGCCGCGUGAAAUAGAGCAAUAACAGGUCUGUGAUGCCCUUAGAUGUCCGGGGCUGCACGCGCGCUACACUGAAAGAAUCAGUAUGCGCUUUUGCCUAGUUCGGAAGAACCGGGUAACCCUAGCAAAUUCUUUCGUGCUUGGGAUAGGGAAUUGCAAUUAUUUCCCUUAAACGAGGAAUUCCCAGUAAAUGCGGGUCAUAAGCUCGCGUUGAUUACGUCCCUGCCCUUUGUACACACCGCCCGUCGCUACUACCGAUUGGAUGACUUAGUGAGGUCUUAGGACCGAGGUAACGGAGCUUUAACGAGUUCCUUUGCUUUGGAAAUUUGAUCGAACUACGUUAUCUAGAGGAAGUAAAAGUCGUAACAAGGUUUCCGUAGGUGAACCUGCGGAAGGAUCAUUAACGAGCUGAAUCUAUCUAAAAAGGGUAGCGUCUUUGAGAUUGGAUACGCUUGAAUCUCACUGCGCCAUCCCUAACAAAAGUGUCGUACGGAACUCCAGCGGGAGAAGCGGUAAGGCGCUCUUAGAACGCGCAAAGCCCGUCGCUGGAUGGAACCGUACAACCGUGAUAAUAAGACGGUAGCGAAUAAAUAACACGGAGUGUUCUGUGAGCGCUCGUUUCCGCUAGCUGACCGCCAAUUUGGUUACUGACGAUUAGUUUGUCCAUCGUUAUGCGCCACUCAGCUUGUGUAGGGUGGACCGCGAUGGACGGACGAAAGCCGGUGAUCAUGCGAUACGGUGGUUAGCGACGCGGAAACGUAAAUGUACGCCGUGAACGGACGCUCUGUGUGUCUACCGUGGUUAUCGCGGAGAGAAUGUACUAUAUAUUCUCUAUCAGACGAUCGGGAACUAAGCGCCGUUCGUUAUUAAAACAGCGUGUUGUCAGAGAAUAACUGCCGGUGGAAAGUACUCUCGCAGUGACUAUACUGUGUGACUGACCGGUGAGAACACACACGCUGGACGCGCGUUUAGUUUCUUGAAGGGUACCUACCGAAUGCUAGCGCUACAGUUGCGUCUGGCUGUUCAGAACGCGUUAGAUUCGAAAUCCUUGUAUGAACGUAUUAUAUCUGUGCGUAAUCUAACAAUCACGGAUGGAUACAAGGGGAGGCUUAAAGAGCCGUUGGUUCCUGAAGAAAAUUGUCAGGAGCGACUGUGCGGAAGCGUUUGAAUAUAUAGUCGCUGACGCCAGUUCGGGACACGGGAUUCAGUGUCCGGACGGCCGCCCUUCAAAAACCAAAACUAUCCAAUGAAACGAAAUACAUACAAACAAACGAAUCCUAAGAGAUUCCAUACUAAGCGGUGGAUCACUCGGCUCGU
rnacentral:rRNA from 1 species